UACAGAGGUCCCAAGCGUUGUUCGGAUUCACUGAGCGUAAAGGGUGCGUAGGCGGUCGGGUAAGUCUGAUGUGAAAUCUCACAGCUUAACUGUGAAACUGCAUUGGAUACUAUCCGGCUUGAGGAAUGGAGGGGAGACGUGGAAUACUUGGUGUAGCAGUGAAAUGCGUAGAUAUCAAGUGGAACACCAGUGGCGAAGGCGAGUCUCUGGACAUUUCCUGACGCUGAGGCACGAAAGCCAGGGGAGCAAACGGG
rnacentral:rRNA from 1 species